rnacentral:rRNA from 1 species
GCCUACGGGGGGCAGCAGUGGGGGAUAUUGCACAAUGGGGGAAACCCUGAUGCAGCGACGCCGCGUGAGUGAAGAAGUAUUUCGGUAUGUAAAGCUCUAUCGGCAGGGAAGAAAAAAAUGACGGUACCUGACUAAGAAGCCCCGGCUAACUACGUGCCAGCAGCCGCGGUAAUACGUAGGGGGCAAGCGUUAUCCGGGUUUACUGGGUGUAAAGGGAGCGGAGACGGGGCAGCAAGUCUGAUGUGAAAGGUCGGGGCCCAACCCCCGGACUGCAUUGGAAACUGUUGAACUGGAGGACAGGAGGG